rnacentral:rRNA from 1 species
GACGAACGCUGGCGGCGUGCCUAAUACAUGCAAGUAGAACGCACAGGAUGCACCGUAGUUUACUACACCGUAUUCUGUGAGUUGCGAACGGGUGAGUAACGCGUAGGUAACCUGCCUGGUAGCGGGGGAUAACUAUUGGAAACGAUAGCUAAUACCGCAUAAGAACAUUUACUGCAUGGUAGAUGUUUAAAAGGUGCAAAUGCAUCACUACCAGAUGGACCUGCGUUGUAUUAGCUAGUAGGUGAGGUAACGGCUCACCUAGGCGACGAUACAUAGCCGACCUGAGAGGGUGAUCGGCCACACUGGGACUGAGACACGGCCCAGACUCCUACGGGAGGCAGCAGUAGGGAAUCUUCGGCAAUGGGGGGAACCCUGACCGAGCAACGCCGCGUGAGUGAAGAAGGUUUUCGGAUCGUAAAGCUCUGUUGUUAAGGAAGAACGAGUGUGAGAAU